CCCGCCCCUGCCGCGCACGCACGCACACGCGCCUCCUACACACACCGUUACGCACGCGCCCCAGCCUGGCGUUCAGGCCGCACCCCGCCCCAGCCCGCCAGCCGCGCGCCCCGGGAUCCUAGAAUCGGCGUUUCCCCGCCGGCGCCCCAGCCGCCACUCCGUGACGGACAUUGGGGGCCUUCCGCCGAGAGCGCGCUCGUGACGCACGGAACACGCUCCUUCCGCGGGGCGGCGCACAAGCUUCUGGGAAACGUAGUUCGGCCUUCCGUCCCCCUCGAGCGGGACCGCGAACGCCUGGAAGCGGGCGCCGAGGACGGACUCAGUAGGAAUUUGAUGAUAGCAUGGUGGUCAAUCUUGUUUCUCCUGACGGUGCUCUUCUAAAGAUACGUGGGCUGCCUCCAGAGUCUCAGUUCUUGGGCUGCUAGAAGGGAAGACUUUGGGUGAAAUGCAUCCCUCCUGUGACUGGACUGGAGAAACAAGAACAGAAACAU
rnacentral:lncRNA from 1 species